GAUGAACGCUGGCGGCGUGCCUAAUACAUGCAAGUCGAGCGAACAGAUGAGGAGCUUGCUCCUCUGACGUUAGCGGCGGACGGGUGAGUAACACGUGGAUAACCUACCUAUAAGACUGGGAUAACUUCGGGAAACCGGAGCUAAUACCGGAUAAUAUAUUGAACCGCAUGGUUCAAUAGUGAAAGACGGUUUUGCUGUCACUUAUAGAUGGAUCCGCGCCGCAUUAGCUAGUUGGUAAGGUAACGGCUUACCAAGGCAACGAUGCGUAGCCGACCUGAGAGGGUGAUCGGCCACACUGGAACUGAGACCCGGUCCAGACUCCUACGGGAGGCAGCAGUAGGGAAUCUUCCGCAAUGGGCGAAAGCCUGACGGAGCAACGCCGCGUGAGUGAUGAAGGUCUUCGGAUCGUAAAACUCUGUUAUUAGGGAAGAACAAAUGUGUAAGUAACUAUGCACGUCUUGACGGUACCUAAUCAGAAAGCCACGGCUAACUACGUG
rnacentral:rRNA from 1 species